rnacentral:rRNA from 1 species
UCCUGGGGGGCAGCAGUGGGGGAUAUUGCACAAUGGGGGAAACCCUGAUGCAGCGACGCCGCGUGAGCGAUGAAGUAUUUCGGUAUGUAAAGCUCUAUCAGCAGGGAAGAAAAUGACGGUACCUGACUAAGAAGCCCCGGCUAACUACGUGCCAGCAGCCGCGGUAAUACGUAGGGGCAAGCGUUAUCCGGAUUUACUGGGUGUAAAGGGAGCGUAGACGGACUUGCAAGUCUGAUGUGAAAAUCCGGGGCCCAACCCCGGAACUGCAUUGGAAACUGUAUAUCUAGAGUGUUGGAGAGGCAAGG